rnacentral:rRNA from 1 species
UGAGGAAUAUUGGUCAAUGGGCGAGAGCCUGAACCAGCCAAGUAGCGUGCAGGAUGACGGCCCUAUGGGUUGUAAACUGCUUUUAUGUGGGGAUAAAGUGCGUGACGUGUCAUGCAUUGCAGGUACCACAUGAAUAAGGACCGGCUAAUUCCGUGCCAGCAGCCGCGGUAAUACGGAAGGUCCGGGCGUUAUCCGGAUUUAUUGGGUUUAAAGGGAGCGUAGGCUGUCUAUUAAGCGUGUUGUGAAAUUUACCGGCUCAACCGGUGGCUUGCAGCGCGAACUGGUCGACUUGAGGAUGCAGGAAGUAGGCGGAAUUCAUGGUGUAGCGGUGAAAUGCUUAGAUAUCAUGACGAACUCCGAUUGCGCAGGCAGCUUACUGUAGCAUAACUGACGCUGAUGCUCGAAAGUGCGGGUAUCAAACAGG